rnacentral:rRNA from 1 species
UGUUUGAUCCUGGCUCAGGACGAACGCUGGCGGCGUGCUUAACACAUGCAAGUUGAACGGUAUGACAUGGAAGCUUGCUGAAGUGUCAUAUAGUAGCGGACGGGUGAGUAAUGCAUGAGAAGCUGCCAUUGGGAGGGGGACAACAGUUGGAAACGGCUGCUAAUACCCCGUAUGCCGGAAGGUGAAAGGGAGUAAUCCGCCCGAUGAGGCGCUCAUGUCCUAUCAGCUGGUUGGUGGGGUAACGGCCUACCAAGGCGACGACGGGUAGCCGGCCUGAGAGGGUGAACGGCCACACUGGAACUGAGAUACGGUCCAGACUCCUACGGGAGGCAGCAGUGGGGAAUAUUGGGCAAUGGGGGCAACCCUGACCCAGCGACGCCGCGUGGGGGAAGACGGCCUUCGGGUUGUAAACCUCUUUUGUACGGGAAGAAGGAAGUGACGUACUUACGAAUAAUCCCGUAA